rnacentral:rRNA from 1 species
AUUGAACGCUGGCGGCAUGCCUAACACAUGCAAGUCGAACGAGUGGCGGACGGGUGAGUAAUGUCUGGGAAACUGCCUGAUGGAGGGGGAUAACUACUGGAAACGGUAGCUAAUACCGCAUACAAUGCGAUGUGCCCAGAUGGGGUUAGCUAGUAGGUGGGGUAACGGCUCACCUAGGCGACGAUCCAUAGCUGGCCUGAGAGGAUGACCAGCCACACUGGGACUGAGACACGGCCCAGACUCCUACGGGAGGCAGCAGUGGGGAAUAUUGGGCAAUGGGCGAAAGCCUGAUCGAGCCAUGCCGCGUGGAUGAAGAAGGCCUUCGGGUUGUAAAGUACUGUCGGCAGGGAGGCGGUACCCGCAGAAGAAGCACCGGCUAACUCCGUGCCAGCAGCCGCGGUAAUUC